rnacentral:tRNA from 1 species
GCUCCCUUCGUCUAGUGGUUAGGACACUGGCCCCUCACGCCGGUAACAGGGGUUCGAGCCCCCUAGGGAGCACCA